rnacentral:rRNA from 1 species
UACGUAGGCAGCAAGCGUUGUUCGGAGUUACUGGGCGUAAAGAGCUCGUAGGCGGCUUGUUGCGUCGACCGUGAAAACCCGUGGCUCAACUGCGGGCUUGCGGUCGAUACGGGCGGGCUAGAGUUCGGUAGGGGAGACUGGAAUUCCUGGUGUAGCGGUGAAAUGCGCAGAUAUCGGGAGGAACACCGGUGGCGAAGGCGGUUCUCUGGGCCUUACCUGACGCUGAGGCGCGAAAGCUAGGGGAGCAAACAGG